rnacentral:snRNA from 1 species
AAACGUUACACUCUUUUAGAAUUUGUCUAGCAGGUUUUAUAGCUUUUACCAGAAAACCUCC